rnacentral:rRNA from 1 species
ACUGAAGGCAGCAGUCGGGAAUAUUGCGCAAUGGAGGAAACUCUGACGCAGUGACGCCGCGUAUAGGAAGAAGGUUUUCGGAUUGUAAACUAUUUUAGACAGGGAAGAAAAAAGACAGUACCUGUAGAAUAAGCUCCGGCUAACUACGUGCCAGCAGCCGCGGUAAUACGUAGGGAGCAAGCGUUAUCCGGAUUUAUUGGGUGUAAAGGGUGCGUAGACGGGAAUUUAAGUUAGUUGUGAAAUCCCUCGGCUCAACUGAGGAACUGCAACUAAAACUGGAUUUCUUGAGUGCGGGAGAGGAAAGCGGAAUUCCUAGUGUAGCGGUGAAAUGCGUAGAUAUUAGGAGGAACACCAGUGGCGAGGGCGGCUUUCUGGACGAUAACUGACGUUGAGGCUCGAAAGCGUGGGGAGCAAACAGGAUUAGAUACCCUGGUA